rnacentral:rRNA from 1 species
AGGGUUUGAUCAUGGCUCAGAGCGAACGUUAGCGGCGCGCCUAACACAUGCAAGUCGCACGAGGUAGCAAUACCUAGUGGCGCACGGGUGCGUAACACGUAGAUAAUCUGCCCUUCAGCGGGGGAUAACGUUCCGAAAGGAGCGCUAAUACCGCAUACAGCAGCGAGUGGUUCGCCAUUUGUUGGCAAAGGCUGGGAUCUUCGGACCAGCCACUGAAGGAGGAGUCUGCGGCCCAUCAGCUAGUUGGUAAGGUAACGGCUUACCAAGGCAAAGACGGGUAGCUGGUCUGAGAGGAUGAUCAGCCACACUGGUACUGGAACACGGACCAGACUCCUACGGGAGGCAGCAGUGGGGAAUCUUGGUCAAUGGGCGCAAGCCUGAACCAGCGACGCCGCGUGAGUGAUGAAGGCCUUCGGGUUGUAAAGCUCUGUGGGGAGAGACGAAAGAAUCGGUUCUAACAGGACCGAAGUUGACGGUAUCUCCUUAGCAAGCACCGGCUAACUCUGUGCCAGCAGCCGCGGUAAGGCAGAGGGUGCAAACGUUGCUCGGAAUCACUGGGCGUAAAGGGCGUGUAGGCGGGAAUGUAAGUCGGGCGUGAAAUCCCUAGGCUCAACCUAGGAACUGCACUCGAAACUGCGUUUCUUGAGUAUCGGAGAGGAAAGCGGAAUACCUGGUGUAGAGGUGAAAUUCGUAGAUAUCAGGUGGAACACCAGUGGCGAAGGCGGCUUUCUGGACGAUAACUGACGCUGAGACGCGAAAGCGUGGGGAGCAAACACGAUUAGAUACCCUGGUAGUCCACGCCGUAAAC